GUGCUUGCUUCAGCAGCACGUGUACUAAAAUUGGAACGACAAAGAGAAGAUUGGCAUGGUCCCUGAGCCAGGAUGGCAUGUGAAUUUGGGAAGCAUUCUGUACUUUC